UGCAGUCGCACGAGAAGCGCCGAGCUUGCUUGGUGCGAGUAAAGUGGCGAACGGGUGAGUAACGCGUGGAUAAUCUGCCUCCGAGUUCGGGAUAACACUUCGAAAGGGGUGCUAAUACCGGAUGAUAUCGAUGGGACUUCGGUUUAGUCGAUCAAAGGUGGCCUCUGCAUGCAAGCUACUGCUUGGAGAUGAGUCCGCGUACCAUUAGCUUGUUGGUGGGGUAACGGCUCACCAAGGCGACGAUGGUUAGCUGGUCUGAGAGGAUGAUCAGCCACACUGGCACCGACACACGGGCCAGACUCCUACGGGAGGCAGCAGUGAGGAAUUUUGCGCAAUGGGGGAAACCCUGACGCAGCAACGCCGCGUGAGUGAUGAAGGCCUUCGGGUCGUAAAGCUCUGUCAAGUGGGAAGAACUUUUGUAUCCGGAUAAUGGAUGCAAGCUGACGGUACCACUGAAGGAAGCACCGGCUAACUCCGUGCCAGCAGCCGCGGUAAUACGGAGGGUGCAAGCGUUAUUCGGAAUUACUGGGCGUAAAGGGCGCGCAGGCGGCCAUGUAAGUCAGUUGUGAAAGCCCGGGGCUCAACCCCGGAAGUGCGACUGAAACUGUGUGGCUUGAGUAUGGUAGAGGGAAGUGGAAUUCCUGGUGUAGCGGUGAAAUGCGUAGAUAUCAGGAGGAACACCGGUGGCGAAGGCGACUUCCUGGACCAUAACUGACGCUGAGGCGCGAAGGCGUGGGUAGCAAACAGGAUUAGAUACCCUGGUAGUCCACGCAGUAAACGUUGAUCACUAGGUGUUGCGGGUAUUGAUGCCUGCAGUGCCGGAGCUAACGCAUUAAGUGAUCCGCCUGGGGAGUACGGUCGCAAGAUUAAAACUCAAAUGAAUUGACGGGGGCCCGCACAAGCGGUGGAGCAUGUGGUUUAAUUCGAUGCAACGCGAAGAACCUUACCUACCCUUGACAUCGUGCGAACUUUCCAGAGAUGGAUUGGUGCCCUCGGGAACGCACAGACAGGUGCUGCAUGGCUGUCGUCAGCUCGUGUUGUGAAAUGUUGGGUUAAGUCCCGUAACGAGCGCAACCCUUGUCCUUAUUUGCCAGCGAGUAAUGUCGGGAACUCUAAGGAGACUGCCGGUGACAAACCGGAGGAAGGUGGGGACGACGUCAAGUCAUCAUGGCCCUUACGGGUAGGGCUACACACGUGCUACAAUGGCCGGUACAAAGGGUUGCGAAGCCGCGAGGUGGAGCUAAUCCCGAAAAGCUGGUCUCAGUCCGGAUCGGAGUCUGCAACUCGACUCCGUGAAGUCGGAAUCGCUAGUAAUCGUGAAUCAGAAUGUCACGGUGAAUACGUUCCCGGGCCUUGUACACACCGCCCGUCACACCAUGGGAGUGGACUGCACCAGAAGUGGUUAGCCUAACUUCGGAGGGCGWCAC
rnacentral:rRNA from 1 species